rnacentral:lncRNA from 1 species
UUUUUCAUGAGUGCAAGCUGAGGAAGAAGAUAUAUAUGAAAACUGAAUGUUUGAAUUCUACCUUGUCAAGAUGGCAAAUGACCUGGGGGAAAACUACAUGUGGAAGCACAGAGUUUGUUUGCACAGAAUGGAUAUGCAUAUCCUCCUGCACACACUGCUCUAUAUUAUGCUGCAAUGAAGGCUGGCAGGCUUUGCACUGUAGAGGAGGACAGCGAGGUUUCUGGACGCAUUUACAAAAUUUAUUUCUCCAGUUUCAAAUCAGCCAUUCAGGAAGCUCCAUCUCCUGCAAAGAUCAGCUCCAUUGUGGUUGUGUUCCUAGGAAACCUAGCUGUGGAUGA